rnacentral:rRNA from 1 species
GCUUGAUAUUGAAGCUAGGUAUGUGAUGCACAGGAUAGGUGGGACACGAAGAGAUUAGGGCUUUGGCCUUGGUGGAGUGGACGUUGGGAUACCACCCUUUGCAUAUUGAGUUUCUAACUUGUGGUAGUGGAUACCAAAGGACAGUGUCAGGUGGGCAGUUUGACUGGGGCGGUCGCCUCCGAAAGGGUAACGGAGGCGCUCAAAGGU